UUUUCUCGGCGGCACAACGAACCCCGGCGCGGAAUGCGCCAAGGAACUUUAACAAGAGAGCGAUGCUCCCGUCGCCCCAGACAUGGUGCGCGUGCGGGAUGCCAUGCAAUCUCCUAUUAUUCAUAACGACUCUCGGCAACGGAUAUCUCGGCUCUCGCAUCGAUGAAGAACGUAGCGAACUGCGAUACUUGGUGUGAAUUGCAGAAUCCCGUGAACCAUCGAGUCUUUGAACGCAAGUUGCGCCCGAAGCUUCGGUUGAGGGCACGUUUGCCUGGGUGUCACACAUGGCGUUGCCCCUAACCCCUCGCCUUGAAUUGGGCGGGCGGGACCUGGGUGCGUAUGUUGGCCUCCCGAGAUGACCUUAUCCCGGUUGGCCCAAAAUCGAGCGUCGGAGCGAUUAGCACCACGACAUUCGGUGGUUGAUGAGACCCCAAUAAUCAAUGUCGUGCGUGUCGCUCCUAUACAUGCUCCACGAAUCUACCUUUCACCAACGCGACCCCAGGUCAAGCGGGGCUACCCGCUGAGUUUA
rnacentral:rRNA from 1 species